AUGUAGUGUUUGUUAAUAAAAUGCACCGGUUCGAGCCUUGCUUUUUGUUCUUUUUUUCCCCACUUUAUUUCCCCCUUCUCAACAGCCAAAUGCAGAGAUAAAGAAAGAGAAAGAGAACAAGAUAGCAAGCAGAGCAGUAAGAGAGAAGAGAGAGAUAUCCGGAAGCCAGCAACCGGCCUUCGAGGCGUGCUCGCCUCCCACAAACAGAACCAAUCGCCGACUCUAGGGCUUUCCGAUGAAGAUUCGAGCGAUCAGAGGUGGUAGUGGCGAGUUUUUGGGGCCAGCUGGUGGAAUCAUGUCUUUCUCUCAUAUUCCCGUUUGCAUUCCACCACCAUCAUUCAUUUUCAUUAUGAAAGAAAGCAAGAAACAAGAAUAAGGGUUAGGCACUUGAUUUGAAGAUGAAGGCCAGACCUAGAAAAUGUGAUUUGAAGAUUGAGUGAAAUAUUUAGAGAGAGAGAGAGAGAGAAAUGACUGCUUUCUCCGGCCGUCGAGCCUUCACGCCGGUGAUCGGAUGCUUUCUCCGGUAGCUUAGCAUUCAUGGUUACAAGAACACGUCAGAAAUGGAAGUAAAAAAAAUGGCAAUGGGAGGUCAAAGAUUGUACAUUAUGAGGUAAUUGAGCAGCUUGGUAGAGGAGCUUUCCUUUAAUUUCUCGUGAUUGAAUUUAGGAAAACUACACAACGUUUGUCAAAGGUGGGGGUAUGCUUAUCGGUCUUCUUCAGUUCAGAUUAUUACACAUCAUGAGCAUCAUCCUUGCUACCACUACAUGGCUGGUGACGGUGGGGAUUGUCGGCAUCGGACGGGAGAUUAGGUUGGUCGCGAUGUUGUUGAAGAGUUCCACCAGGUGACGGAGGCGGGUAAAAGCCCAGCGAAGAUCCGCCGAAGGAUGAUUUCGCGUAUGCGAGAUCCAAACCAUUGGAGAAGAAUUUACCUUCGGUGACGGUUAUUAAGGCGAUAGCGGCAGUUGAUUGAGAUUUGGCUCAUGAUAUCCCGGAGCAUUGGUUAGCUAAUUUUGUGGUUGAUUUAAUGAAGAUUGAUUUAAUGAAGAUGUAGGUUUUAAUAUUAGCUUUGAUGCAGUAUAUACAGUUGAUGCUACUUGCUAUGCCCCAAAUUCGAUUCACAGCCACCACCAAAAAGGCCGGGUAAAGGUGGAAUGGACGACUAAAAGCCGAACCAUAGACAUACCUUUUGUCCACCUAAAGGAACAAGUCACGGUGGAAUGGCAGCCUACAUCCAAAAAGCGCCAGACAUUUCUUUUGUACAGAUCAUGAUUGAAGAUUCAACUACCAAACAAGUACAUUACAUGUUGCGUAUAUAAGCAGCCACGACGGCUUUCCUUAGGAAAACUUGUAAUAAACGGUAAACCGUAUGCUAUUGACUUGAACAUGUAUCUCUAGAUGUCCUAAAUUUUGUUUGCCGCAUCUAUACGCGACAUUAUAAUCUCUAUACGUAACAGUAUAAUCGAUGAAUGAUAAUGUUAUUAACAGGA